GAAAAAUGUGGGGGAGCUGUUAAUUGGUAGGCUGAUUCAAGAAACAAAGAGGCAAAAAUGGGGUUUAAGAAAGAGAAGUAAGAAAACCAAUCAAUCUGAAUACAACAUAUCCUGUCUAUACAAAU